rnacentral:rRNA from 1 species
AUUGAACGCUGGCGGCAUGCCUUACACAUGCAAGUCGAACGGCAGCACGGGUGCUUGCACCUGGUGGCGAGUGGCGAACGGGUGAGUAAUACAUCGGAACGUACCUUAUCGUGGGGGAUAACGCAGCGAAAGCUGUGCUAAUACCGCAUACGCCCUGAGGGGGAAAGCGGGGGAUCGCAAGACCUCGCGCGAUUAGAGCGGCCGAUGCCUGAUUAGCUUGUUGGUGGGGUAAAAGCCCACCAAGGCGACGAUCAGUAGCUGGUCUGAGAGGACGAUCAGCCACACUGGGACUGAGACACGGCCCAGACUCCUACGGGAGGCAGCAGUGGGGAAUUUUGGACAAUGGGGGCAACCCUGAUCCAGCAAUGCCGCGUGAGUGAAGAAGGCCUUCGGGUUGUAAAGCUCUUUUGUCAGGGAAGAAACACCGGCUCUAACACAGUCCGGGAAUGACGGUACCUGAAGAAUAAGCACCGGCUAACUACGUGCCAGCCGCCGUAAAAC